GAAAUGCGAUACUUGGUGUGAAUUGCAGACGCUUUGAACGUUAAACUUUCGAACGCACAUUGCGCCGUAGGAGUCCUACCCUACGGCACAUCUGGUUGAGGGUCGUGAUCGUACACAGCCGCAAAGUUGCUGUAUCUAUAGACUAAUUGGUGAAUCACGAGUCCGGCUGCGUCGCCAAGUCAGUCGGACGUGUUUUGCCAUCAUGCUCUAGAGGAUAGUGCUUAAUCGAAAGGUUGAGCCUACCUACCACACGGAUGGGCUAUCAGCUGAAAGCGAUAGGUCCCGAUCCUAGGGUAUCUGGAAUCGCGCUCUUCGGGGCGUAAAUACUCUAGGAUGACAGGGAUAUCGGCUGCGUAGUUUCAUACGUGCUUGGUAUUGAGAGUAUUCGCUCUCCCGACCU
rnacentral:misc_RNA from 1 species